AUGGCCAAAUGCACCAAGAAGGUUAGAAUCCUUGGUAAAUACGGGACUGCUAUGGGGCCUCGCUCAAGAGGAUGGUGAAGAAGAUCGUGAUCAGCCAGCACACCAAGUACACUUGCUCCUUCUGUGGCAAAAUGAAGAGACGCACUGUGGGCAUCUGGCACUGUGGCUCCUGCAUGAAAACUGUAGCUGGUGGAGCCUGGACCUACAAUACCACUUCUGCAGUCACGGUAAAGUCUGCCAUCAGAAGACUGAAGGAAUUGAAAGACCAGUAGAAGCUUCACCAUUUGAGACAUCACUAGCCUAUAAUAAAUUGCUUAAUUUAUGUAAAAAAAAAAA